GCCGUGUUUGUCAGGAACACCUGUAGCUGCCGCACCCGACCUCAGUCGGAUCGAUCGAUCUGCUGCCCCUCGCCCCGUCCUAACUCCAUAUAUAUACUCCCCACGUCCGGCUUGUCCGAUUUUUCGCCAAAAUCGCGGUCUCCCGUGCCCUAGGUUGAUUUCGCGAUCUCGCCGGAGUUCCACCGCUGCUGACCUGCGCCGUCAUCGUUUCCGUCGCCUACAGGGAGUACCGAACCGAGCGCAAGGACCUCGAUCCGAAGAUCACAGCCACCGCCCGAGCUCCAGCCACCCUCUGCCGUCAACCCCGUUCGCCACCGACGCCUCUGAGGACUUCUUCGAGACCGCAGCCGAGCUCCGCGCCCCAUACGCUACCCUCCGGAGUCUCGAGACCACCGGAGCAGGCGCCACCAUCGCCGCCCGAGCUGUCGCGCCGCUGUUUUGUCCAAGUCCGGCCGCCCCAGCCUCUGUUCCUCUCCGAUUGUCUGGAGUGUGAAGCGGAUCGGAAUUAAUCGCUAGAGUACUUCAGCACCUUUCAAGGC